GGGUCCUAGUACAGCGGCGGACGGGUGAGUAACACGUGGGUAACCUGCCCCUGGGUGGGGGAUAACGGUGCGAAAGCGCCGCUAAUACCGCAUAAGACCACAGAGCCUCCGGGCUCAGGGGUCAAAGGGCGUCAUCUACGGGUGGCGCUCGCCUGGGGAGGGGCCCGCGGCCCAUUAGCUAGUUGGUGGGGUAACGGCCUACCAAGGCGACGAUGGGUAGCUGGUCUGAGAGGACGAUCAGCCACACUGGAACUGAGACACGGUCCAGACUCCUACGGGAGGCAGCAGUGGGGAAUCUUGCGCAAUGGGCGAAAGCCUGACGCAGCGACGCCGCGUGGGUGAAGAAGGCCUUCGGGUCGUAAAGCCCUGUCAAGGGGGACGAACUCGCCGGCUCGAAAGGGUCGGUGCUGCCGGUACCCCUGAAGGAAGCACUGGCUAACUCCGUGCCAGCAGCCGCGGUAAUACGGAGAGUGCGAGCGUUGUUCGGAUUC
rnacentral:rRNA from 1 species